rnacentral:sRNA from 1 species
GCCAGGCACGCUGACCCAUGCCUGUAAUCCCAGUGGCUUGAGAGGCUGAGGCAGGAGGAUCAUGAGUUCAAGGCCAGCCUCAGCAAUUCAGCAAGGCCCUGAGCAACUCAACAAGACCCUGUCUCAA